rnacentral:rRNA from 1 species
GACGAACGCUGGCGGCGCGCCUAACACAUGCAAGUCGAACGAGCGAGAGAGAGCUUUCUUUCUUGAGCGAGUGGCGAACGGGUGAGUAACGCGUGAGGAACCUGCCUCAAAGAGGGGGACAACAUUUGGAAACGACUGCUAAUACCGCAUAAGCCCACUGUGCCGCAUGGCAGAGAUGGAAAAGCAGCAAUCCGGUUUGAGAUUGCCUCGCGUCCGAUUAGCUAGUUGGUGUGGUAACUGCCCACCAAGGCGACGAACGGUAGCCGGGCUGAGAGGCUGCACCGCCACAUUGGGACUAAGACACGGACCAGACUCCUAGGGGAGGCAGCAGUGGAGAAUAUUGCACAAUGGGGGAAAACCUGAUGCAGCGACGCCGCGUGGAGGAAGAAGGUCUUCGGAUUGUAAACUCAUGUUGUUGGGGAAGAUAAUGACGGUACCCAACAAGGAAGUGACGGCUAACUACGUG